rnacentral:rRNA from 1 species
UACAGAGGUGGCAAGCGUUGUUCGGAAUUACUGGGCGUAAAGGGCGCGUAGGCGGCCUUCUAAGUCAGACGUGAAAUCCCCCGGCUUAACCCGGGAACUGCGUCUGAUACUGGGAGGCUUGAGUAUGGGAGAGGGAUGUAGAAUUCCAGGUGUAGCGGUGAAAUGCGUAGAUAUCUGGAGGAAUACCGGUGGCGAAGGCGGCAUCCUGGACCAUAACUGACGCUGAGGCGCGAAAGCUGGGGGAGCAAACGGG